rnacentral:lncRNA from 1 species
AUGGGAACCUAUUUCCUGGACCUCACUGAUUUAGCUAAACUGGACUGAAUUGUGGACCUUAGAGGAACUCUGGUUGCAGUGCUUGUGAGGCAAAUGGUCUCUCACUGAGCCUGGUGGAGCUGGACAGCACACCCUGAGGUCUCCUGUCUCCACCUUCCCAGCUCUGGGGAUGCAGCAUCCCAGCCUAUGGAAUGUUGCACACCAUAAUUGAGGUGAGUUUUCCUACUGCAGUUAAUUUAUAUUAUGCACCCCCUCAUAGGCAUUCCAUGAGUCUUGUCUCCUAGAUAAUUGUAGAUUCUGUCACAUUGACCAUACAUAUUAAUCAUCACAUUCUCUUCCUGUCUUGGUACUUUAAGGUCAUUAAAAGAACAAAAACAAAGAACCCCUUAAUCUUUAUGAAAGGCCC